rnacentral:rRNA from 1 species
GACGAACGCUGGCGGCGUGCUUAACACAUGCAAGUCACGGGGGCCCGCAAGGGUCAACCGGCGAACGGGUGCGUAACACGUGAGCGACCUGCCCAGUUGCGGGGGAUAGCCGGCCCAACGGCCGGGUAAUACCGCAUACGCUUCCUUGGGGGCAUACCUGGGGAAGGAAACCUACGGGGCGAUUGGAGGGGCUCGCGGCCUAUCAGCUAGUUGGCGAGGUAACGGCUCACCAAGGCGAUGACGGGUAGCUGGUCUGAGAGGAUGGCCAGCCACAUUGGGACUGAGAGACGGCCCAGACUCCUACGGGAGGCAGCAGUGGGGAAUCUUGCGCAAUGGCCGAAAGGCUGACGCAGCGACGCCGCGUGGAGGGAU